CAGCAAUGCGUGGCAUACGGCUCAGUAACACGUAGUCAACAUGCCCAGGGGACGUGGAUAACCUCGGGAAACUGAGGAUAAACCGCGAUAGGCCAAGGUUUCUGGAAUGGACACUGGCUGAAACCUAUAUGGCCCCUGGAUUGGACUGCGGCCGAUCGGGCUGUUGGUGAGGUAAUGGCCCACCAAACCUGUAACCGGUACGGGCUUUGAGAGAAGGAGCCCGGAGAUGGGCACUGAGACAAGGGCCCAGGCCCCAUGGGGCGCAGCAGGCGCGAAAAUUCUGCAAUAGGCGAAAGCUUGACAGAGUUACUCUGAGUGAUGCCCGCUAAGGGCAUCUUUUGGCACCUCUAAAAAUGGUGCAGAAUAAGGGGUGGGCAAGUCUGGUGUCAGCCGCCGCGGUAAUACCAGCACCCCGAGUGGUCGGGACGAUUAUUGGGCCUAAAGCAUCCGUAGCUUGUUCUGCAAGUCUUCCGUUAAAUCCACCUGCUCAACAGAUGGGCUGCGGGAGAUACUACAGGGCUAGGAGGCGGGAGAGGCAAGCGGUACUCAGUGGGUAGGGGUAAAAUCCUCUGAUCCACUGAAGACCACCAGUGGCGAAGGCGGCUUGCCAGAACGCGCUCGACGGUGAGGGAUGAAAGCUGGGGGAGCAAACCGGAUUAGAUACCCGGGUAGUCCCAGCUGUAAAC
rnacentral:rRNA from 1 species